AGAGUUUGAUCCUGGCUCAGGACGAACGCUGGCGGCGUGCCUAAUACAUGCAAGUCGAGCGAACCAAUGGGAGCUUGCUCCCUGAGGUUAGCGGCGGACGGGUGAGUAACACGUGGGUAACCUGCCUGUAAGACUGGGAUAACUUCGGGAAACCGGAGCUAAUACCGGAUACUUUUUUCUCUCGCAUGAGGGAAGAUGGA
rnacentral:rRNA from 1 species